AGUGUACGCUGGCGGUAGGCCUAACACAUGCAAGUCGAACGGCAGCACAGUAAGAGCUUGCUCUUACGGGUGGCGAGUGGCGGACGGGUGAGGCAUACAUCGGAAUCUACUUUUUCGUGGGGGAUAACGUAGGGAAACUUACGCUAAUACCGCAUACGACCUACGGGUGAAAGCAGGGGAUCUUCGGACCUUGCGCGAUUGAAUGAGCCGAUGUCGGAUUAGCUAGUUGGCGGGGUAAAGGCCCACCAAGGCGACGAUCCGUAGCUGGUCUGAGAGGAUGAUCAGCCACACUGGAACUGAGACACGGUCCAGACUCCUACGGGAGGCAGCAGUGGGGAAUAUUGGACAAUGGGCGCAAGCCUGAUCCAGCCAUACCGCGUGGGUGAAGAAGGCCUUCGGGUUGUAAAGCCCUUUUGUUGGGAAAGAAAAGCAGCAGGUUAAUACCCCGCUGUUCUGACGGUACCCAAAGAAUAAGCACCGGCUAACUUCGUG
rnacentral:rRNA from 1 species